rnacentral:rRNA from 1 species
AGUAGUUUGACUCCGUGGCUCGAGGACGAACGCUGGCGGCGUGCCUAACACAUGCAAGUCGAGGGGCAACAUGGAGACAGCUUGCUGUCUCUGAUGGCGACCGGCGAAUGGGUGAGUAACGCGUAUCCAACCUGGCGCACACCCGGGAAUAGCCCUUGGAAAUGAGGAUUAAGUCCCGAUAGGCCAUCAUGCCGCAUGGCGUGUUGGUGAAACCAGGUAUGCGAUGGGGAUGCGUCCGAUUAGCUUGCCGGCGGGGUAACGGCCCACCGGGGCAUCGAUCGGUAGGGGUUCUGAGAGGAAGGUCCCCCACACUGGUACUGAGACACGGACCAGACUCC